CAGUCGCCGCGGUAAUACGUAGGGUGCAAGCGUUAAUCGGAAUUACUGGGCGUAAAGCGUGCGCAGGCGGUUCGUUAAGACAGAUGUGAAAUCCCCGGGCUUAACCUGGGAACUGCAUUUGUGACUGGCGGGCUAGAGUAUGGCAGAGGGGGGUAGAAUUCCACGUGUAGCAGUGAAAUGCGUAGAGAUCUGGAGGAAUACCGAUGGCGAAGGCAGCCAUCUGGCCUAAUACUGACGCUGAGGUACGAAAGCAUGGGGAGCAAACAGGAUUAGAUACCCCUGUAGUCCCUGUCUCUUAUAC
rnacentral:rRNA from 1 species